GAAAGAUUACAGUGAGACUCUUCUCCUCCUGUUUACACGGGCACAGACGACUGCAAGAGAAAGGAAAAUGCUUGAUGGAUGUUGGUUCCACCACAUCAUAGGAUGUAUCUCAUACAAAGACAAAUACAUCUUGUUCCUGACUUACAAAGAGAUGAUCAAGUCCUCUGUGCCUGUGUAAAGGAGGAGAAGAGUCUCGCUGUGAUCUUUUCCCUUCUGCAGACUCUCUGCCCUGUACUGUAGAUAAACAUGUAAAUAGUUCUGUUCUUUUUUCUGUUCUUUUUUCAUAUACUAAAAAAUAUAUUUUUUUUGUUACCUUUAUAUAUGUGUUUGAAUAAACUUUAUAAACUAACAUGCGAUAUCAUUGUGCGAUAUCAUUCUCAUCAUUGUUUUAUACUUCAUAGUUUUAUUGCUUACUGUCGACUACAGCAGGAGUCAUUUUGCACUUAAAAAAAAGACUUUGUAAGUUAUAAACUUACCAGACAUCAGCAAGGUAAUGACAAAUCAACAAAGACACAUGUCAA